rnacentral:lncRNA from 1 species
UAAAAGAUGAAAUAUUAAUCUCACAAAUUCUUUUGUAGUUUUCACGUACGAUUUUAAUUCCCUGCUCGAUCAGACAGACACUGCUAUAUAUAUAUAUUUGUGCGAGCCUUGUUCACUCAAUAUAUAUUCUGUCUAGUUGUGUGCGUUGUUCACUCAGUUCGAGGCUCGCCUGCCUUUGUAAGUUCACUACUUUCCCUUUAGAUACAUACAUAUAUAACAUGUCUGCUAUAAUCC